rnacentral:rRNA from 1 species
GACGAACGCUGGCGGCAGUCCUAACACCUGCAAGUCGAGCGGAGCGGCGGACGUGUGAGUAAUGCCUCGGAAUCUGCCUGUUAGUGGGGGAUAACGUCCUUAAACGUGCGCUAAUACCGCAUCCUAUCAGAUAAGCCUAGGUCGGAUUAGCUAGUUGGUGGUGUAAAGGCCUACAAAGGCGACGAUCCGUAACUGGUCGGAGAGGAUGAUCAGUCACACUGGAAAUGAGAAACGGUCCAGACUCCUACGGGAGGCAGCAGUGGGGAAUAUUGCAAAAUGGGCGAAAGCCUGAUCCAGCCAUGCCGAGUGUGUGAAGAAGGUCUUCGGAUUGUAAAGCACUUUCAGUUGGGAGGCGUUACCAACAGAAUAAGCACCGGCUAACUUCGUGCCAGCAGCCGCGGUAAUAC